CUUUUUUUUUUUUUUUCCUUUUAAAUGUUUUAACUUGUUUUGCAACCCUUGACUACGUCAACUUUGAAAACCUAGGUACUUCUACUCCUAGGUGAAAAGUUAUAUAAAGGAGAAGGCUGGUGUAGAUUCAUGAUCUGUCUCCCAUUAACAUUAAACUCAGGAUGGCUCUCAAACUUUCUACUACCAUUGUGUUUUGCUUCAUUGUGUUUCUCAUCCUUGCUAACCAUAUUGUUUCCCCUCGACAGCUGAUCGGGGAUGGGGGUCGUAGAGGCCGUCUUCUCGGGGGAGUCGUGUCCCCUACGAGCGGAAUCCCAUCCCCGGCAAGGCCAUUUCCUUGAGAUGCAAAAAUCCGUACGAGGUGCUCGGAAAGCAGCCCUGUAUCCAUAUGCUUCCGGCUAGUUUAGCAUGCGUCGUUUAUGUAUGUUCUCUACAAAUAUAAGAUAUGGGUCAUUUCUAUAUAUAUAUAUUAUUGAUAUUCCCAUAAUUACACCUGUCUCUAGUUUAGCAUCCGUCGUUUACGUACGUUGUCUUCAACUAUAAGAGAUGGGUCAUUUCUAUAUAAAUAUAUAUUGGUGAUAUUCCCAUAUA